GACGAACGCUGGCGGCGUGCCUAAUACAUGCCAGUAGAACGCUGAAGAGAGGAGCUUGCUCUUCUUGGAUGAGUUGCGAACGGGUGAGUAACGCGUAGGUAACCUGCCUUGUAGCGGGGGAUAACUAUUGGAAACGAUAGCUAAUACCGCAUAACAAUGGAUGACACAUGUCAUUUAUUUGAAAGGGGCAAUUGCUCCACUACAAGAUGGACCUGCGUUGUAUUAGCUAGUAGGUGAGGUAAUGGCUCACCUAGGCGACGAUACAUAGCCGACCUGAGAGGGUGAUCGGCCACACUGGGACUGAGACACGGCCCAGACUCCUACGGGAGGCAGCAGUAGGGAAUCUUCGGCAAUGGGGGCAACCCUGACCGAGCAACGCCGCGUGAGUGAAGAAGGUUUUCGGAUCGUAAAGCUCUGUUGUAAGUCAAGAACGGGUGUGAGAGUGGAAAGUUCACACUGUGACGGUAGCUUACCAGAAAGGGACGGCUAACUACGU
rnacentral:rRNA from 1 species